rnacentral:rRNA from 1 species
AUGUCAUAUAGGAGCAACAACCCUGAGAUCCCAUCGUUUGCCUCUAGUUAUCCAAUGCAGGGAGUUAGGAAUGAAGAGGAGCAUAACAAUUAUGCUCCACAACAAUUUUCUUCUGCUCCUAUUCAUAUGCCUCAGCACCAGGAGAUGUUGCCAAUGGAGUUAAAUAGUCCUCCAUUUGGUCAACCAACACCUUCAACACAAGUGCCCACACAAGAUGAUUUUGAUGAUAUAGACAAGCUCACAUUGCUUAGUCUCGAGUUCACUUGGAGUGCGGAAUAUGAUCCUAUUAGGAAGGUGAUACUUGAGGAAAUGGAGAAGAUUAAGAGUGGAAAGGAGCUAGUGGAAGAAGCAAGGAAAAUUGAGAAGAACAUCAAUGCUGGAAGUAUUAUCUCCUCCCUCCUUGAGCUGAGUGUUGCCGAGAUUCCCCUUGAUACAUGUGAGGUUCCAACACCGUCACAUCCAGCUGAGCAAGAUAGCAAGAGUCCAGAUGAAGAAAGACCUCAGAUUGAAGAAGAAAUACUUGAAGACAAGGAACAAGAUGAUCCAGAGCUCGAACAACAAAGUGAUCAAGUUGAAGACUUGUCAUCUAUUACUCUUGAAGAAGCAAAAGAAGUUGAUGUGGUUGAAGAUGAAGAACCAGCAAUUCAUUUGCCUAUUGUCAUACAAGAGCGUGAUGUAGCAGGUUUGAGGUGA